UUAUGCCCUUAUGAUUUUAUGAAAUGUGCUUUUCUGAAUUUUUAUCAACAUACUUACAAACUUCAACAUGUAAUUAAAAAUAUUUCAAUUAGAUGGCCGAAGGGGAAGAGGAAGCAGUUGGUGUCUGAUGUCAGGGUAGUAAAGGUGUGACAUCUCUUGUAUAAAAGAGACCAAACUCUGAUAACCACAGCUGGCUUGUCCAGACACCACUACUUCGUCCCUCGUUUCGUUCUCACAAACUGCAGUGGGAAUUGGAGUCAUGGAGAGAUCAGGGAGAAGCCUCGUUCUCCUUAUCAUUGCAGUGCUGUGUUCUGGUCAUCUGGUCCUUGGAAGCCAUUUUCGUGGUGGGACCAUCAGCUGGGAACACAUUGGUGGAAACAAGGUGCGUUUUGAAUACAUGGUCGGAUGGCGCAGAAACUCGGGCCCAGGUGGAAAUUGUGAUAAACAGGAUGUGAAAACUCAGAAAAUGAUUGCACUUACCAGCCAAUGGAGAUGUGUGCAAGGCUGCAAUUCAGAAGAGACCCUGAACUACCGAUGUAUCGGCUACAACAAGCCGAGCAACUGGAUGGUUGGAUCUGGAACCUUUGAAAUGAAUGUUCAAGAGGUUGGAACCAGUGUUGUUGAGUUUGACAACUGCUGUUACAUCACAGCAUCCGUGAUGAAGACAACGUCACAUCUCACCAAAAAGGGCGACUUUCAUUGGACAUUGCAAACCACCAUCAACAUCGACACCCGUCAAGACAUCGGGAGGCCCAAUUCCUCUCCAGUCACCAGCUCUAAACCGCUCAUCAAGUGAGAAAGGAAAAUCUGUUUAUGGGUGAUUUCAUAAAGGGGGGGGGGGUGUGGAGUGUCGAUAUGGAAGAUCGGUG
rnacentral:lncRNA from 1 species